rnacentral:rRNA from 1 species
UGCGCCUAACACAUGCAAGUCGAGCGGGAUUAUUUGGAAGCUUGCUUCUAGAUAUGAGAGCGGCGAACGGGUGAGGAACGCGUUGGAAUCUGCCCCCAAGUCAGGGAUAGCGAGAAGAAAUUCUCAUUAAUACCGGAUAGUCUCUUUGGAGUAAAAAUUUAUUGCUUGGGGAAGAGCCUGCAUUCUAUCAGCUAGUUGGUGAGAUAAAAGCUCACCAAGGCUAUGACGGAUAACUGGUCUGAGAGGAUGAUCAGUCACAAUGGAACUGAGACACGGUCCAUACUCCUACGGGAGGCAGCAGUGGGGAAUAUUGGACAAUGGGCGAAAGCCUGAUCCAGCAAUGCCGCGUGAGUGAUGAAGGCCUUAGGGUUGUAAAGCUCCUUUGCCCGGGAUGAUAAUGACAGUACCGGGAGAAUAAGCUCCGGCUAACUCCGUGCCAGCAGCCGCAGUAA